UUUAAUUUUGUUUUGUUUUGUUUUUUUUUUUUAUUUUUUUUAUUUGGGGCGUUAAUCCAGGUAAUUUUUUUAAUUCCAGUUUGUGCGGUAGUUGGAAUCGUUUUCUCUUUAACUCAAUGGUACAUUGUUUCACAGGUUAAGCUUUCCCCUGAUUAUGUGCGUGCUAACAAUAAUAAGAAUGGAUACUUUGAGAGUUUGAUUGAAGAAGAAGGUCUUAAUGACCCAGGCAUUAUUGCAUAAUGUACUGAGAUCCAGAAUGCUAUUUCUAAAGGUUCGAGACAUCAAAGCCCUAUACUUGUUCCACAAUCGGCCUGCUUGGCCCUAGUUUGUGACAGCUGCAUUUUGUCAUGCAAAUUGGUAAGGUUCCACAACUAUUAUGCACUAAUGAGUACUUGAUCGAGUAGAGUGCAGCGCAUAAGAACUAUUGCAUAAGUUAGGAGAGAGCGCAGCCUCAAUUGUAUGGUACAUCUAAAAGUCCUAUUCUCCUAAAUUUGCAAAUUGCAGCCAUUUAAAAUUCAUAUUUUACAAAUUGCAGCCAUUUUAAUUUUUUUUUUGCAAAUUGCAGCACAAAAGUUCGUAUAAACUGUAAAUUCUAGCCCAAUUCAAUUUUUACAUCGAUUUACACGUCAAAAAAUUUUCGGUUAAGGUUUUAGGGCCAUUUUAGCCCUUGUAAUUCUGAAUUGAGCUCGAAAUUAGCAAAAAAAAAUAACAUAAGUGUCUCGUUUUGUGUAACAAAAAUAUAUCGAUUUGUGGGAAACUGUAAAAAUGAGACACUUCCAUUAUUUUUUUGCUAAUUCUGAGUUCAAUUCAGAUCCUUAAGGACUAAAAUGGCCUCUAAAACCUUAGAUGAAGAUUUUUUGACAUGUUAACCGAUAAAAAAGUUGAAUUGGGCUGCAAUUUACAAUUUAUACGAACUUUUGGGCUGCAAUCUGCAAAAAAAAAUAAAAUUAAAUGGCUGUACUUUGCAAAAUAAGAAUUUUAAAUGACUGCAAUUUGUAAAUUUAUUCCAAAAAAAAAAAAUAUUUUGUUCAGGCUCAUCAAUAGUGCAAAACCCACGUCCUAGUCUUGUCUUUAAGUAAAUUUUAGCUGCUGCUGUCAUUUGCAGGAACCAUGUUUCCAGCAAUUUGUUCUUUAUUUACAUUUUCCGUAAGACAAUUUGUUUCUGUUGAAUUUGGAAUGCGGUCUGAACGCCUCGUUCUUGGAUAAUAUGAAAAUUGGAGUGGCUAUCCACUAUAUGUGUAGGGAAGCUCGUGGAAGAGGAAGAAGGUAGCUUUGCAUUGUGGCUUUCCACUAUAAGAUUCUUUUUUCUUAAUUGUGAAUGUUAUGUAACAUAAUAAUUCAAAAUGCUUAUUGUUUUUUUUUUUUUAGGAUCGGGAGGGAAACUCUAACCACUUGAGCUAUCCCUCAUUAUCUCAAAAUGCUUAUAUUGUGGUUAUGAACUCUUGGUCUCUUUGUAAACACUACAACUGUCAUUGAUUAGUGUACUAACUAGCAAAUGGUUUCCAAUUUACAAGUAUAAUAUUAUAUUCUUAGGUAAAAGUAAUUUCAUUAUCUUAUCUUUUAUGAACGUCAUUUUGUCAUAGAUUCUAUUAGGAAUUUGAAUUCAAAGUUCGAUCUCAAAAUAUCAAAUAUUAAGAAACGGAGGUUGAAAUAUCUUGUAUAAAUAAAUAAAAAAUAUAGUUAUCCUUGUCUUCCCAUGAUACUCCAAAAUACUGGUCUUGUUCAAUAGUCUUUUGGUUGCUUAUCAAUUGUUUUCCUCUUUCUAGGGUCUGGCACUACCAACAAUUAUUGGAGGUAACUUGAAGAUGGUGUUUGGAGGCAGCCUCGGAUUUGAGAUCAAAGUUGCAGCUAUUUGGAAAAAUGGUGGAAGAUGUAAACUAUUCAACACACUAAUUUAGAGGAAAAUAAUUUAAAUCUGAUAGUAGUCUUAAGUAAACUUGUAUUAUUAUUAAUACAAUUGUGCAAGCUAGCUAGCUGUCAUGCAGCAUGUGCUAGAUAUUUUUUUUAA